rnacentral:tRNA from 1 species
CUCGUAGCUCAGUGGACAGAGCGGCUGCCUUCUAAGCAGCGGGUCGCAGGUUCGAAUCCUGCCGAGGGCAUCCA